GAUGAACGCUGGCGGCGUGCUUAACACAUGCAAGUCGAACGGUAAGGCCCUUCGGGGUACACGAGUGGCGAACGGGUGAGUAACACGUGGGUGAUCUGCCCUGCACUUCGGGAUAAGCCUGGGAAACUGGGUCUAAUACCGGAUAGGACCCUGGGAUGCAUGUCCUGGGGUGGAAAGCUUUUGCGGUGUGGGAUGGGCCGGCGGCCUAUCAGCUUGUUGGUGGGGUGAUGGCCUACCAAGGCGACGACGGGUAGCCGGCCUGAGAGGGUGACCGGCCACACUGGGGCUGAGAUACGGCCCAGACUCCUACGGGAGGCAGCAGUGGGGAAUAUUGCACAAUGGGCGCAAGCCUGAUGCAGCGACGCCGCGUGAGGGAUGACGGCCUCCGGGUUGUAAACCUCUUUCAGCACCGACGAAGCGCAAGUGACGGUAGGUGCAGAAGAAGGACCGGCCAACUACGUGCCAGCCGCCGCCGUAA
rnacentral:rRNA from 1 species